AUUCCAGCUCCAAUAGCGUAUAUUAAAGUUGUUGCAGUUAAAAAGCUCGUAGUUGAACUUUGGGCUUGGUCAGCCGGUCCGCUUUUAUGCGUGUACUGGUCCUGACCGAGCCUUUCCUUCUGGCUAACCUGUCUCUCGGGGCAGGCGAACCAGGACUUUUACUUUGAAAAAAUUAGAGUGUUCAAAGCAGGCCUUUGCUCGAAUAUAUUAGCAUGGAAUAAUAGAAUAGGACGUUUGGUUCUAUUUUGUUGGUUUCUAGGACCAUCGUAAUGAUUAAUAGGGACGGUCGGGGGCAUCAGUAUUCAAUUGUCAGAGGUGAAAUUCUUGGAUUUAUUGAAGACUAACUACUGCGAAAGCAUUUGCCAAGGACGUUUUCAUCA
rnacentral:rRNA from 1 species